GGCGAACGCUGGCGGCGUGCCUAACACAUGCAAGUCGAACGGGGUGAGAUCCUUCGGGAUUUCACUUAGUGGCGAACGGGUGAGUAACGCGUGAGGAACCUGCCUUUCAGUGGGGGACAACAGUUGGAAACGACUGCUAAUACCGCAUAAUACAGUUGAGCGGCAUCGCUUGACUGUCAAAGCUUUAUAUGCUGAAAGAUGGCCUCGCGUCUGAUUAGCUAGUUGGUGGGGUAACGGCCCACCAAGGCGACGAUCAGUAGCCGGUCUGAGAGGAUGAACGGCCACAUUGGGACUGAGAUACGGCCCAG
rnacentral:rRNA from 1 species